rnacentral:piRNA from 1 species
UGCCCACCCUGCCUGAGGACUCUACUCAC